CUACAAUUGGCAUGAUUUUGUUCCUUUUAAUGGCUGAGUAAUAUUCCAUUGUAUAUAUGUACUACAUCUUUCUUAUUCAUUCCUUUAUUGAUGGCCCUUUAGGUUGCUUUCAUGUCCUAACUAUUGUAAAUAGUGCUGUAAUGAACAUUGGG